rnacentral:rRNA from 1 species
UAAAGGCCCACCAAGGCGACAAUCAGUAGCCGGCCUGAGAGGGCGUACGGCCACACUGGAACUGAGACACGGUCCAGACUCCUACGGGAGGCAGCAGUGGGGAAUUUUCCACAAUGGGCGAAAGCCUGAUGGAGCAACGCCGCGUGAGUGAUGAAGGCCUUCGGGUUGUAAAACUCUGUCGUGCAAGAACAAAGUCACCGGGUGAACAAUCCGGUGAUCUGAUUGUAUUGCAGGAGGAAGACACGGCUAACUCUGUGCCAGCAGCCGCGGUAAUACAGAGGCGUCAAGCGUUGUCCGGAAUUACUGGGCGUAAAGGGCGUGUAGGCGGGCUUGUAAGUCGGAUGUGAAAUCACUGGGCUUAACCCAGUAACUGCAUCCGAAACUGCUUGUCUUGAGUGCAGAAGAGGAAAGCGGAAUUCCCCGUGUAGCGGUGAAAUGCGUAGAUAUCGGGAGGAACACCAGUGGCGAAGGCGGCUUUCUGGUCUGCAACUGACGCUGAAACGCGAAAGCUAGGGGAGCAAACGGGAUUAGAUACCCCGGUAGUCCUAGCCGUAAACGAUGAGCACUAGGUGUGGGAGGUAUCGACUCCUCCUGUGCCGCAGCUAACGCAUUAAGUGCUCCGCCUGGGGACUACGGCCGCAAGGUUGAAACUCAAAGGAAUUGACGGGGGCCCGCACAAGCGGUGGAGUAUGUGGUUUAAUUCGACGCAACGCGAAGAACCUUACCUGGAUUUGACAUCCCCUGACCGUCCAUGAAAGUGGACUUUCCCGCAAGGGACAGGGAGACAGGUGCUGCAUGGCUGUCGUCAGCUCGUGUCGUGAGAUGUUGGGUUAAGUCCGCCAACGAGCGCAACCCUUGCCGUAUGUUACAUGUGUCAUACGGGACCGCCGGUAUCAAGCCGGAGGAAGGUGGGGAUGACGUCAAGUCAGCAUGGCCUUUAUGCCUGGGGCUACACACACGCUACAAUGGCCGGUACAAUGGGUUGCUAAGCCGCGAGGUAGAGCCAAUCCCCAAAGCCGGCCUCAGUUCAGAUCGCAGGCUGCAACCCGCCUGCGUGAAGUCGGAGUUGCUAGUAAACGCGCGUCAGCCAUAGUGCGUUGAAUACGUUCCCGGGGAUUGUACACACCGCCCGUCA